rnacentral:lncRNA from 10 species
GUCUUGACGCUGGGUUCCGGCCUAGGGUUCUGGCUUUCCUCCUGGGCUAGUGAACGCGGCGAAGUCCUCCUCUUUCUAAUCUCCAGAGCCGCAGUUCCAUCCUCUGGGUCAGCGGCUUACCCUGACUGGGCUGCGGUAUCUGCCUUCCUUCCCCCAACAAGGCGACAGGUAGUCGGGGCUGGGGCCGGAACUGACUGAGUGGGCCGCAACUGACUGAGUGGGCCGCGGCUCCCGCCUGAGGAGGCUAGGAAGGACUGAACAGCAGCCGACUUCCCAGGCUCUAAAAAUCGUGCCUCUGAGUUAGAGCUACCUCAAAAGCAAGACCAAGCAUGAGAAAUGGAGUCUUUUGGCCAGUAUUGGGGUGUUCGGAAUUCAAGCGUAUGAGAGAGUGGACGGUAGCGUUGAGAAUUUUCAUUUGAAGAUCUCGUCUUAACCACCCCAAGUGUAGUCAGAGGCGGCGUUUUCCCUGCGAGAGUGCCCUGGAACAAAGCAAGGAUAGCGUGGGUUAGACAUACCUGAAAUGAAAGCGUCUUACUUUAUCUAGGUACAUAUUUGCGUCAGUAAGGCGCAACGCCAUUUCUCUCUUGGAAUUCAGAAGUGAAAUAUGGUGACUGGGACGCCUGUACAUUGCUUUGACUUAAAAAUUGAAGUCCAUUAUUCUGACCGAAAGUUAAUCUGAUGAUUAAUUGGUUAAACAUACUAUCGUUGCUAAUUAGCAUAAUUAUUAUUUACAAUAAAGUGAGCUAAAUAGCUACAACUAAAAUAUAUUUAAAUUACUGUGAUAUUGUGAUGCUAAAGAUGUGUUGAAAUUAAUAUCUUGAAUUUCUCAACCCUGCCUAAAUGCCUCUGAGAGUAAUUAGUAUAAUUAAAAGUCACUAGAGAAAGUGAAUGACUCUAAUAACAGGAUAACAAAUUCUUUUCAAGUCAGAUGGUUUCCAGUUCUUUGCUUUCAACAAAAUUAAUGGUGGCCCAUGAAUUGUCAGCUGAUGAAGGAACACUAUUUGGUUUUUGGCAUGCAACUCGGAAAGAAACCAAACGAUUGAUUGACAUGCUUACAACAAAACUACUAGCAUUCUCACCUAUUUAUGUAAAACCAUUUCUCAGCACUUGUAUCUGUGAAAACAACAGAAUUGAAAAUGAACCCUGUUAAUCUACCAGUAGGAACUAUUCAUCCAGAUAAAUGAAUUAAUUGGUGGGUCAGCCCCAUCUAUCUCACUAAGAGAUGUGUUCCCAAUAGAAUUUCACCUUUUAUAACUGUGUGUUAUCAAUAUUUGCAAUCGUGUCAUUUUGAUCCAUUAUAUACUAAAGAUGAUUGUGAUGAUUACUCACUUCAGAAGAAUUCCAGCGUAGAGCCAUAAAGUUACACGAAAUUUUUUAAGGUUUACUACAUAUGUCAUAUUUUUAUUGCGAAGAAGUGAUCAAGAAAAGGUUGUUCAAACAUCAAAGUACUAUAUUUGAAUAACAUUUUUUGUUAGAGUACAAUCUAAAUAUGUUAGAGAUAAUAAAAGAACAAUGUUGAAGAGCUCAUUAGUGUAUGUUUUAAUGCAUAAUGGUGGUUAUUCAGUUGUUAUGUAGAUUCUCUUGGAUACAUUAUAAAGAGUGAUUUAACAGUUUUAUCUUAAAAUGUCAGUAUUUACAAUUUGCAAGAAUUUACAUCCAUUGCAACUAUUUGAAUUUAUGAUGGAACCAGUUAGAUACCAACUUAAAUAUAUAAGGGGUAAACACUUUUUCAAAAUUUUCUCUCCCUCAGGCCAUCAUUGCUAUGCCCUCUUCACUCUUGACUUCAGCUGUCUGUGAGUCCAAAGCCUCACAGGAGCUUCUACCACCCAAGCUUUGUGGCUAAGGGCACAGGUUUAGAGUCAAGCUGCUUGAUUGCCAGCCACGGCCGCACCAUGUAUUAGCACGUUCUUUAAUCUGUGCAUCAGAUCCUCAUCAGUAAAAUGAGAAUAACAUAGUAUGUACUUACUUUCUCAUACUGUUAGGAUCAAAUGAGAAAAUUCAUGUAAAGCUCCUAGCAAUGUAGAUGGCCCUGAGUGCCCAAUAAAGGUUAGCUACUGCUUGGGAGAGGGGCAUCAUAGCAUUGAUCUGUCACCAUGUGUCUGAAGAGAUAGGAGAGUAGGAGGCCGAGGUGUCAAAAAGCCAAGACUGACUGGAAUUCAUUCAUUCAAUAAAUACUGAAUGUCUGCGAAAUGCCAGACGCAUUUCCAGGUGCCAGGGAUAUAGCAGUGAACCAAAGCCCCUCUCCUGGAGCUUACAUUCUUAGCUGGGGUGGAUGCAGUGUUUGAUAAAUAAUAAGCAAAUAUUUAAUAGUAAAAGUGGAAGUGGUGAUAAGUGCUAUGAAGAAAAAGCAGCAAAAAGGCAAUACAGCAUGUUGGUGUGAGGGAUGCUGCUUUACAUAAGUUGGUCAAGGAAGCCUUCUCAGAUUAACUGGCAUUUGAGUCCCCCAAAAAAAGUAAGAGAACAAGCUGUGUGGAUAUCUGAGGAAAUUGCCAGUCAGAGUGAAGAGCAAGUGCAAAGGCCCUGAGAUUGGCCAAUGCUUAUCAUAUCUGAGGAAUGGCAAGAGGCUGUGGAAAGAGUAAGGAAGAGGGGGAGUGCAGAUCCAUGCCAUCAUGCAGUCUUUUAGUUAAAAGACUUUUACUUAGAAUGAAAGAAUAAGCCAUUGCAGGAUUUUGAGCAGAGCAUUGCAGAGUUUUGAGCAGACAAUCCUUCUCAUUACAACGUGGAGAAUAAAUUUAAUGGGGAAUGGAAGGAGGGAGUGCAGUUAGGAGGCCAUUUCAAGAAUCCAGGUGAUUUAGCAGUUGCCAAGGAUAUCAGAAAAAAAGAAAAAAGAAUCCAGGUGAGAGAUGGUAGUGCAGACUAAUGUGGUGGCAGUGGAGAACUAGUGAAUUAUGGAAAGUGAAUAAUCACUUGUUUCUCUUUUCAGAAAGACAGUACUAAUAGAAGGGCUGGCCUGUGUGGAGUCUAAAAAUGGGAACCUCAAAACAGGCUGUUGGCAGGAUUUUGCUAAAGGAGAAAGACUGGCAGGGUGUGCUGGCUCACACCUGUAAUCUCAGUUCUUUGGGAGGCCAAGGUGGGAUAAUUGCUUGAGUGCAGGAGUUCGAGACCAGCCUAGGCAACACAGUGAGACUUCAUCUCUAUAAAAAUAAAUAAAAUGACUGAAUUUGAAAGAUAAAGAUUAUUAUCCCUAGAGUGAUAGACAUUGCUGUAGGGUAGUCCAUCUACCCUGUCUAACCUAAAUCAUAGAGUUGCUCUCAAGCUUUUUCCCUAUCUUGCCUUGAUUCUCUGCUUACCAAGCAUUCAAGGUCCCUUAAUUGAAACUCUGGCCAUAAGUGCUCUGGCCUCAAGAAAAGAAUGAUCCCCCUUGGCUGGGCGCAGUGGCUUACGCCCGUAAUCCUAGCAUUUUGGGAGGCCGAGGUGGGUGGAUCACUUGAGGCCAGGAGUUUGAAACCAGCCUGGCCAACAUGGCGAAACCCCAUCUCUACUAAAAAUACAAAAAAAAAAACAAAAGACAAAAAACCAGGCAUGGUGGUGGACGCGUAUAAUCUGGAGGCUGAGGCAGGAGAAUCGCUUGAACCCGGAAGGCGGAGGUUGCAGUGAGCGGAGAUCACACCACUGCACUCCAGCCUGGGUACCCUUACAAGAGCAGCUGUUAUUUCUUUUGCAUCUAGCUCAUUCUACUUUCUAGCUCAUACGUUCUGUCUCUCAUAUAGGCUACUAAUUCUGUGUUACUCCCUGUUAAAAAAGAACAAAAACAAAAACCCUGUAAUGGUCCAUUUAUGAUAGUAUAAAGCCCAACCUAUAUAUGGUAUAUAUGGUAUGACCUUCGAGGUCCUUCAUUACCUGACAUCAGUCUACUCUUCAAAACUCUUCUUUUUUGGCCGGGCGCGGUGGCUCACGGCUGUAAUUCCAGCACUUUGGGAGGCCGAGGCGGGUGGAUCAUGAGGUCAGGAGAUCGAGACCAUCCUGGCUAACACGGUGAAACCCUGUCUCUACUAAAAAUACAAAAAAUUAGCCAGGCGUGGUGGCGGGUGCCUGUAGUCCCAGCUACUUGGGAGGCUGAGGCAGGAGAAUGGCAUGAACCCGGGAGGCUGAAGUUGCAGCGAGACAAGAUUGCGCCACUGCACUCCAGCCUGGGUAACAGAGCGAGACUCCGUCUCAAAAAAUAUACAUAUAUAUAUAUCCUUCUGGGCCGGGCGCAGUGGCUCAUGCCUGUAAUCCCAGCACUCCGGCAGCCCAAGGCGGGUGGAUCACCUGAGGUCCGGAGUUCCAGACCAGCCGGGCCAACAUGGUGAAACCCCAUCUCUACUAAAAAUACAAAAAGUUAGCCAGGCAUGGUGGCGGGCGCCUAUAAUCCCACCUACUCGGGAGGCUGAGGCAGCACAAUCGCUUGAACCUGGGAGGCAGAGGUUGCGGUGAGCUGAGAUCGCGCCACUGCACUCCAGCCUGGGCAACAAGAGCGAAACUCUGUCUCAAAAAGUAAUAAAAAUAAAAAUAUACUUCCAUGAUGAUCCCGCUCAGGAAUAUUAUCUUCCAUUUCUUUGUCUGCCUAUGUAAUCAUUUAUG